CCCCCCGUCGCCCGAUCGUCGGCGUCGCGCACCUGCAAGAAAAGUUCUCACUGACCGGAGAUGCCUCCGACGGGGACCCUCUGACAGUCAAGUCAGAGAGGAGACUAGGCAACAGUGAAAAAUCAGGGGCUCAAUAGGAGAGAGAGAGAGCUCAAGAGCUUAAAGGCGCUUCAGAGAGCUUGAGGAAGCUUGAUCAAAACUUACCAAGACUGUUGCCUUAUCCCAU
rnacentral:lncRNA from 1 species